UCUUACGGGAGGCAGCAGUGGGGAAUAUUGCACAAUGGGCGAAAGCYUGAUGCAGCGACGCCGCGUGGGGGAUGACGGUCUUCGGAUUGUAAACCCCUUUCAGUAGGGACGAAGCGCAAGUGACGGUACCUGCAGAAGAAGCACCGGCUAACUACGUGCCAGCAGCCGCGGUAAUACGUAGGGUGCGAGCGUUGUCCGGAAUUACUGGGCGUAAAGAGCUCGUAGGCGGUUUGUCACGUCGUCUGUGAAAUCCCUCGGCUUAACCGGGGGCGUGCAGGCGAUACGGGCAGACUUGAGUACUACAGGGGAGACUGGAAUUCCUGGUGUAGCGGUGAAAUGCGCAGAUAUCAGGAGGAACACCGGUGGCGAAGGCGGGUCUCUGGGUAGUAACUGACGCUGAGGAGCGAAAGCAUGGGUAGCGAACAGGAUUAGAUACCCUGGUAGUCCAUGCCGUAAACGGUGGGCGCUAGGUGUGGGGUCCUUCCACGGACUCCGUGCCGUAGCUAACGCAUUAAGCGCCCCGCCUGGGGAGUACGGCCGCAAGGCUAAAACUCAAAGGAAUUGACGGGGGCCCGCACAAGCGGCGGAGCAUGUGGAUUAAUUCGAUGCAACGCGAAGAACCUUACCUAGGCUUGACAUAUACAGGACGACGGCAGAGAUGUCGUUUCCCUUGUGGCUUGUAUACAGGUGGUGCAUGGUU
rnacentral:rRNA from 1 species